UACGUAGGUGACCAGCGUUGUCCGGAUUUACUGGGCGUAAAGAGCGCGCAGGCGGUCGUUCAAGUCGAGUGUGAAAGCCCCCGGCUCAACUGGGGAGGGUCAUUCGAUACUGAUCGACUUGAAGGCAGGAGAGGGAAGCGGAAUUCCCGGUGUAGUGGUGAAAUGCGUAGAUAUCGGGAGGAACACCAGUGGCGAAGGCGGCUGCCUGGCCUGUUCUUGACGCUGAGGCGCGAAAGCUAGGGGAGCAAACGGG
rnacentral:rRNA from 1 species